rnacentral:rRNA from 1 species
CCUACGGGAGGCAGCAGUGGGGAAUAUUGGACAAUGGGCGAAAGCCUGAUCCAGCAAUGCCGCGUGAGUGAUGAAGGCCUUAGGGUUGUAAAGCUCUUUUACCAGGGAUGAUAAUGACAGUACCUGGAGAAUAAGCUCCGGCUAACUCCGUGCCAGCAGCCGCGGUAAUACGGAGGGAGCUAGCGUUGUUCGGAAUUACUGGGCGUAAAGCGUACGUAGGCGGUUAUUCAAGUCAGAGGUGAAAGCCUGGAGCUCAACUCCAGAACUGCCUUUGAAACUAGAUAGCUAGAAUCUUGGAGAGGUGAGUGGAAUUCCGAGUGUAGAGGUGAAAUUCGUAGAUAUUCGGAAGAACACCAGUGGCGAAGGCGACUCACUGGACAAGUAUUGACGCUGAGGUACGAAAGCGUGGGGAGCAAACAGGAUUAGAUACCCUGGUAGUCCACGCCGUAAACGAUGAUAACUAGCUGUUCGGGCUCUACGAGCUUGAGUGGCGCAGACUACGACAUUAAGUUAGUCCGUCCGUCGGGUAGGUACGGUCGGCGAAGAAGUUAAACGUAACGUAAAGUUAAGUUAGUACGUUCGUUGAGACGNGCCGACGGACGACGACGAGGGAGGAGG